GGAAAUAUAAACAGGCCCUGGUUGGUGCUGCUCUGCCAGAACAGCCACCCAGAGGCAUGCUGCACGGACUCUCCAGGUCUUUGAUUACUUGAGAAAAGUGAGUGAGGUGGGGCCAAGAUGGUUGACUAGAAGCAGCUAGUGUGUGCCACUCUCACAAAUAGCAGAAAGAGUGGUGAGGUGAGUAGACACUAGCUCUUCAACCGGAACAUCCAGGUGGACACAUAAGGAUUCAUCAGUGACAUAGUGUGACCUUCAGAUCACGGAGAAGAGUGAGACAGAUCAACCAUUCACCCAGGAGUGGCACAGACCCAGGGGAAUCUCCCUACAAGAAAAUGGCCAGGAACGUCAAGAUAUAUUGGAGACCUCAAGAAGAGAGAAAUUCAUGCAAAUUUUUAGAUACUGCAGCCAAAGUCUGAUGUUCGCCCUCCUUUGACUUCUGACCCUUGGAAGGCUUUUAAAAGUCUAAUCUGAGAUUUCUUAUCAAAAGUUCCAUCAAAAUAAACUUAAAAACAGCC